CGUUGAUCUAUACCGCCUACGGUGCCAAACAACAGGAUUCUCUGCUGCGAGGCUAACUCCAGCGCGCCGUAGCGUGCAAAUCGGACAGACCGGAAGCCGAAGACGGUGCAGACCUUCGAAGGCCAGACCAAUGCUGCAUUAAGCGCACGCACUCGGCCCAAUAGGCCGCAAGGUUAUGGAUGCCGCGAGGCUUAUUCUUCCCCUUGCCAAGCUAGCGCCUCACGACCUCGUCGCGUCACCGGCGCUUAUUUCUGCGUGUCGUGAGCGAGUU
rnacentral:misc_RNA from 1 species